UGACACAUAGAGAUCGCAUGGUUUUUAUGUCAAAGAUUUAUCGCUGAAAGAUGGCCUCGCGUCUGAUUAGCUAGUUGGUGAGGUAACGGCCCACCAAGGCGACGAUCAGUAGCCGGACUGAGAGGUUGACCGGCCACAUUGGGACUGAGAUACGGCCCAGACUCCUACGGGAGGCAGCAGUGGGGAAUAUUGGGCAAUGGGCGCAAGCCUGACCCAGCAACGCCGCGUGAAGGAAGAAGGCUUUCGGGUUGUAAACUUCUUUUGUCGGGGACGAGUAGAAGACGGUACCUGGCGAAUAAGCCACGGCUAACUACGUGCCAGCAGCCGCGGUAAUACGUAGGUGGCAAGCGUUGUCCGGAUUUACUGGGUGUAAAGGGCGUGUAGCCGGGAAGGCAAGUCAGAUGUGAAAUCCACGGGCUUAACUCGUGAACUGCAUUUGAAACUACUUUUCUUGAGUAUCGGAGAGGCAAUCGGAAUUCCUAGUGUAGCGGUGAAAUGCGUAGAUAUUAGGAGGAACACCAGUGGCGAAGGCGGAUUGCUGGACG
rnacentral:rRNA from 1 species